CAACGCCAAUGACGACAACAACAACACUAAAGACCACAACACCAGUGACAACAACGACAAAUUCACCCAAUGUGAGGAUCUUAACAGUCACCAUGGAUCUGGAAUAUAAGGAGUCAUUCAAUGACAUCACCAGCGAAGUUUUCAAACAAACAAAUAAGGCUAUUCAAGAACAGUGUAGUGAACAUAUCACAGCCAGCCACACAGCAACAUUAAUUAGGUUCCGG